rnacentral:lncRNA from 1 species
AUUCCAAAAGCGUUCUCUUUUUUUAAUUACCCAAUGAUGUGUAAUAAACUCGUCGAAUAAAAGGUGCAUUAGUGCGUUUGAGUCGAGAGGAGGGAGUUAUGGUUCUCGUUUGAAAACCAAGGGGCAACAUAACAAGAAAGUCUUUGGCAACACUCCUGAGACGGGACAACAAGCAAAUGACAGUAGACUUCGUGUAAGCAUUCGACCUGCAAAAACGUUCUCAAGAAGCAGUCGAGUUGGUGUUUUUAGGCUCGUUUCCUUUUGGACCGCUUGGAAUAGGUUUCUUUUCUCUGGAACUAUUUAUUGGUUCCUCGCGCAGAAGCGGAUUGGUUCAAACCCAAGAAGAAAGCGAGACUAUUCAAGCCAUCGACUCACUGAUGGUUGAAGAUGAUGAGCGAUUGACAAAUGCAGUCUGGAAUCUGCUGGCAUCACAGCACAACAUCACUCUAAGCACCGUCAGAAGACAGUUGAAGAAACUUGAGUGGACUUAUGGAAAGGCUCUGGCCAGUCAAGGUGGAAGUUUGAAUUGAUCAUGACAUCCUUUGACCUGUGGGGGAGCAGUGAACUAUUCUCCUCUGGAGUAUGGGCCCUGAGAAACCUGAUCCACAGGAUGCCGACCACCCCUCCCUCCUCCCUCUAUGCCCACCCACCAGCUUUCCCGGCCUUUUCCUCCACCACACCAC